CCCGCCCUCCUCCCCAAGCCGCCGGCCCCACUCCGUCCCUGGCGUGACUCGGCACGUCGGGCGCAGUGAAGAGAACCCGCUGCGGCGUCAGCGCGUCUCCGUCCCCGCUUCCCCUGGGCGUCCUCCCUCUUCGGUCCCGAAGCGGUGGUGCCGCGGCCUCGGCUCCCUGCAGGCCCCUCCCGCGACCAUGGUGGGAGUGAAGGUGGUCGGGGCCGACCCGGAUUUCCAGCCGGAGCUGAGCGGCGCGGGCUCCAGACUCGCCGUGGUCAAGUUCACCAUGAGAGGUUGUGGACCAUGUUUACGGAUAGCGCCGGCUUUCAAUGCUUUGAGCAAUAAGUAUCCACAGGCAGUUUUUUUGGAAGUGGAUGUACAUCAGUGCCAGGGAACAGCUGCCACCAACAAUAUAUCAGCAACACCCACAUUUCUCUUUUUUCGAAACAAAGUGCGAAUCGACCAGUAUCAAGGAGCAGAUGCUGUGGGAUUAGAAGAAAAAAUUAAGCAACACUUAGAAAACGACCCUGGAAACAAUGAAGACACAGAUAUCCCCAAAGGCUAUAUGGAUUUAAUGCCCUUUAUUAAUAAAGCUGGAUGUGAAUGCCUUAAUGAAAGCGAUGAGCAUGGAUUUGAUAAUUGUUUACGCAAAGACCCUUCCUUCUUGGAAUCUGACUGUGAUGAACAGCUGCUUAUCACUGUGGCUUUCAAUCAGCCUGUUAAGCUUUAUUCCAUGAAAUUUCAAGGGCCAGAUAAUGGUCAGGGUCCUAAGUAUAUAAAAAUCUUUAUCAAUCUACCCCGAUCUAUGGAUUUUGAAGAGGCAGAAAGAAGUGAACCAACUCAAGCCCUGGAACUAACACAAGAUGAUAUUAAAGAAGAUGGUAUUGUCCAACUUCGUUAUGUUAAAUUCCAAAAUGUUAACAGUGUAACUUUAUUUGUUCAGUCCAAUCAAGGUGAAGAAGAAACAACAAGAGUUUCAUAUUUUACAUUUAUUGGUACUCCAGUUCAAGCAACAAAUAUGAAUGACUUCAAACGACUGAUUAAUCCAACUCAAAUGAACUAAAAACAGAAGAUUUUUUUAAAUGAAGUAAUAUAAAGAUUGAUCUUAUCCCACUCUACUCCCCUCCUUGCUUCUCUGCUCAUCUAGCACCUGUCUGCUCUCACCCUUUCCACAGUAUCACCAUUCCUGGUGCAAGAGCCUUCUCUACAGCUCCUAUCAUCUGGAUCAGCCUUCUUGUAUCCAUAUUUCAUCAACCAUCUCUCUUCAGUUCCCACCUUAGUCAUUUCUCUCACUUGGGCUAUUAAUUUUGUUUUCUUUACAACUGAGUGCUUUUAUUUAUUCGCCAUACCAUAUGUCUUAUACUGCUUUCUGUUAAUUUUUAAUUUUCUGCUGUUUUGUACUUAAUUUCAUAAAGCAUUUUAAGGAAAUUGUACUUUGAAUCACGAUUUGAAGUACAAUUCUGCUUAAUUUUUACAUUUGCUAAAUUAAUGUGAAAUGAAAUAAUCAGUCCUGAAGGCUGCUUUAGUUUUUGUUUUAUGAUAUCAUAUAUCUUUUAGUUGGUUUCAUUUAGCAAAUUAAAUAUUGCAUAACCCAUGAUAGCAUUUUCAUGUUCUUUUGUACUCACAUGAUGUUUUUGGUAGGUAGGCUUUGAGAGUUGGAGAAGGGUGGGAGGAGAAGGUGCAAGCUGCCUUAUUUCUGAUUCCUUUUGUAUCCUGAUAGAUUAGAAGGCUUUUAAGAGAGAAUACACAUUGGCAAGUUGAGAGGUAGUUGGUAAGAAAGGAGAAAGCCAUUAAGAUGCAGAAGACACUGGAAAACCCUUAUUGCAAUCAAAAUGGAUCUUCACUUUAUCUACAGCUCCUGGAUAAUUGCUUGACCCUAGCCAGAGACUGUCAAUGUUUCCUUUAAUGCCAUUACCAAUAAAUCAUUGCUUUUGUUCAGAUGGUUUCACUAGUGUUUCUAUUGUAAUCUUGAUACAUGUAUUUGUAAAUAAAAGUCAUUACUUUUGCCAAAUUUAAUUUUUGUCAUUUUAAGUAUGUAAGAAUUUUUACUUUCCAUUCAUUUUGAAAUUUUCUGGCUUCUCAUUUUAGGAGAUUUAACAUAUCCAGUGUUAUACAGGCUGAUAGUUGACUUUUUAAAGUUGAGAAACUGUCAUAAUUAAGAGUUAUCUGUUUUUGAGAAAAUAUCAGUUUAAUACAAUAAAAAUUGGAAAUGCAAGGGACUGUGAAGAAUGGAUUUUGAAGUGCCCAUGUUUGUAUUAUGUAAUAUUUUUAUUAAAGAACAGUUGGUUAUCUAGGGAAAUAGGAAUUUUACAUGAUCUUUUGCAUACACUUAAGAUUCAACUGUCUCCAAAUGUUACCUGCAAACUAUUAGAUAAUGGGAUUGAAAAUUCCUAGGUCUAAUCAUUUACCACACCAAGAUUUUUGUGUCUUCUGAAUCAUUUGUGAGUCACCGUUUCAUUUAUUGUGGCUUUAUGGACAUUAAUCAUUAGGUAAAAAUAUAGUACUUGAAAUUAAAAGUCUUUUAGUGUCAUUAAAUAAAGUUAUUUCUAUUAUGUCAUUCAUUUAACAAAUAUUCAUUGUGUUCACUACCUAAAUAUGCAAUAUAGAUGUAGAGAUGAUGGUUCAGGGGUAAAAUACCAAAGGGAGGAAGAGUAUGGCUGGAAUAACGAAAUAUGUAUAUUCACUUAAAGGAUGCUUGGGAAACAAUUUGGAGAACUUGGACAGGUUUCUCAGAGAAACCAAAAUUUGAUGUCAUUUUGAGCUGUAAUCUUAAAGCACUGGUAAAUUUACUUUAAAAAUAUCCCUGAAUAUUUAAAAAAUGGAAUGACUAUAUAAGAAUACACAUGGCACAUAUAAUUGUAUAGUUAAAAUAACUGAGUAAUAUCAGUCUGGCUUUUGGGGGUGUGUGUCUAGGGAUAGAGUAGAGAAUCUGUUUUGUCUAGAAAUAGGUUUGAUUUUGGCUUUGGGAGAUUAAUAUGUUUAAAUAUAUAGUUUUCUGGGUGUAAAUCAUGCAGAAAGCCUAGCAUUUAUUUCAUGAAACACAUGUACUGGUAGAAAUUUCUCGUUUUUAUGUACUGUUGCACAUUAAAUGGACUAUAGUGAUGCCUUUAUUUCUUAAGUACUUCCUAGCUAUGUUGCUUUGGGUGAAGUAGAGGCAGAGAGCCAAGAGAUAAUAAGGCAUGUGAGACUAUAUGUAGAGAAUCUCCAAUGAAUCACUUCUGAAAUUUAGGACAAGAUGAAUAUUAAGAGCUAUUUUUGUUAUAGUUUUGUACACAACUACCUUUUUGGGUGAUUGUUCAAGUGCCUCAUAUUACAUAUUGCUGACCUCAUAACAAUUUAUACUUGACGAUUUGAUAACCCAGUGAUAGUGAUUUUUCAUAUUUGUAAAGGAUUGGACAUCAGACCUAUAUUGUUUAUGUAACUUUUCUAUAACUUAAUUGGUUACAAUAUACAAAUCUUCCAUAAUACAAAUUGUAAAUAGUUUUAAAUGAAUGUUUAUAGGUAACUGUAAAAUGUUUCACUUAAUGGGGAGUUUUAAUACUACGAAUAAACAUGUCUUCUGGGCAUAACUUAAAAUACCAAGCUGAAAUCCUGAUGUUUUCUCAUGGUAAGAGAGUAAAAUCUAAAGGACAUUUGAAACUGUCUAUAGGAGUAAAAGCUGCCUUGGGAAAAGACAGCCAUAAUCAUUUGAACUAAAGCUUAUUUGAACAACUUGCCCAUUAAAAAGAAAACUUUGUCGAGGAAGUUAGGUGUAGAACUAAAAUUUUUAGUUAGAAUAGUGAAACCUCUCUAGCAUUUGGGAAAACUUUUGAUAUUCUUUCAUUAGUUUUUGAUGUUAUGGCUCAAUAAAUUGUUUUUUUACAUUUGA